GUGGGAUAUUAUUAAUACCUAACCCUAAUUCAAAUCCAGCAUAACUAUUGAGAGGUAAUCAUGGGAAAGGUAGCCAAUAUCUCAUAUAAUCACACAUAAUCUCACCACUGAAUAAAAGAAAGAUAAAGAAAAGCAAAAGCUGCUACAGAAAACCAUAACUUAAAAAUAAUCGGGGUUUCGAUACUGAAUAGGCAUGUGAACAAAAGCCAACAUAAGAACAAAGAAUUUAGAGAGAGAGAGAGAGAGAGAGAGA
rnacentral:misc_RNA from 1 species